rnacentral:rRNA from 1 species
UAACGCGUAUGCAAUCUACCUUUUACAGAGGGAUAGCCCAGAGAAAUUUGGAUUAAUACCUCAUAGUAUAAUUGAAUGGCAUCAUUUAAUUAUUAAAGUCACAACGGUAAAAGAUGAGCAUGCGUCCCAUUAGCUAGUUGGUAAGGUAACGGCUUACCAAGGCUACGAUGGGUAGGGGUCCUGAGAGGGAGAUCCCCCACACUGGUACUGAGACACGGACCAGACUCCUACGGGAGGCAGCAGUGAGGAAUAUUGGACAAUGGGCGCAAGCCUGAUCCAGCCAUGCCGCGUGCAGGAUGACGGUCCUAUGGAUUGUAAACUGCUUUUGUACAGGAAGAAACACUGGUUCGUGAACCAGCUUGACGGUACUGUAAGAAUAAGGAUCGGCUAACUCCGUGCCAGCAGCCGCGGUAAUACGGAGGAUCCAAGCGUUAUCCGGAAUCAUUGGGUUUAAAGGGUCCGUAGGCGGUUUGGUAAGUCAGUGGUGAAAGCCCAUCGCUCAACGGUGGAACGGCCAUUGAUACUGCUAGACUUGAAUUAUUAGGAAGUAACUACAAUAUGUAGUGUAGCGGUGAAAUGCUUAUAGAUUACAUGGAAUACCUAUUGCGAAGGCAGGUUACUACUAAUAUAUUGACGCUGAUGGACGAAA